GUUCUGGGUCGUAGGGUGACCUUACCACCAGCAGUGCAGCAGCUGGGCACAGGUAUCACCUGUCACUGUGGCCUGAGAGACCUGGUCACAUUAUUGGCCGACUGUAAUUUGGGAUUUUCGUUUAUUUUUUGAGGGGGAGGGGAAGAAAAAAAAUACAGAGGCGUGGUAAAAAUAGGGUCAGGGUCACGUCCAGCCCAAGCUAUAGAGGCUUCCUAGGACAGUGGCCUCCAAUUUUUGUGGUCAGGACUCAUGGGCACUCUAAAGGUCUGCAAGGCCGUGGAGAGCUUGCAUUGCAAGGGUUACACCUACUGAUACCCAGCAGGUAAGAGAAGGUUUCACAUAUUUAUUCAUUCAUUCGUUUAAAACAAUUAAAGGUUCAUUUUUGUGUGAACUUAAAUAUUAUGAAAAUAACUUUACCACCCGCCUACCCCCCUCAAAAUUAGCAAAAAUGUAACUGUUUUACAUUUCCACAGAUGUCUUUAAUGUCUGACUUAGCAAAGGAUAGGAAGAUUCACGUUUCUGCUUCUGCACUCAAUUUGUUCGAUAUGUUGUUUUGGUUGAAGUACAUG